UACGGAGGGGGCUAGCGUGGUCGGGAAUUAUUGGGCGUAAAGCGCGCGCAGGGGGCCUCUUAAGUCGGAUGUGAAAGCCCCCGGCUCAACCGGGGAGGGCCAUUGGAAACGGGGAGGCUUGAGUAUAGGAGAGAAGAGUGGAAUUCCACGUGUAGCGGUGAAAUGCGUAGAGAUGUGGAGGAACACCAGUGGCGAAGGCGACUCUUUGGCCUAUAACUGACGCUGAGGCGCGAAAGCGUGGGGAGCAAACAGG
rnacentral:misc_RNA from 1 species